GACGUAGGGUGCAAGCGUUGUCCGGAUUUACUGGGCGUAAAGAGCGCGUAGGCGGCUCGUUAAGUGUGAAGUGAAAUCUCCAGGGCUCAACCCGGAAACCGCUUUACAUACUGGCGAGCUUGAGGAAUGCAGAGGUUAGUGGAAUUCCUGGUGUAGCGGUGAAAUGCGUAGAUAUCGGAAAGAACACCAACGGCGAAAGCACUCUGCUGGGCCGACACUGACACUGAGAGACGAAAGCUAGGGGAGCGAAUGGG
rnacentral:rRNA from 1 species